rnacentral:lncRNA from 1 species
CGGCCGGUGACAAUCUUGAAAAUAAUGUUGGAUAAGAAAGAUUUGAAGACAUUACAUUUACUUUACCGACGAGAUGCACAAAUGUUUUGGUCUCUUGAUAUUUCCCUAGGAAGUGCGUUUUGUAAGUCUUUACCUUUCUGCUUAGAUUGGUAGUAUCUACGAUUUAGAGGUUGUGUAUUUUUCUGGUUCUUACAUAAGACAGUGCAGAUCUUUUAACAAAUCUC